CCUUGGACUGCUAUAGCAGCGCAUCAUGGUUUGAAACGAUGUCAAAAGUGUCCAAACCAUUAUGUGCUGCUGUAGAAUUUUAAGGAAA
rnacentral:pre_miRNA from 10 species